ACUAAAAACUUACAAACAUGCGUCUACAUAUUUGUCUUCAACGAUGAAAAUCCUUCUUACAUUCAAUUUUUAAUGUUGAUUUUUCCACUUUCUAGAAUUGUUUAUUUUAUUGUUAUUUUGUAUCUGUGUUAAUGGUCAGUUUUAUUUAGUUUUACCCUGGUUACACCGCAUUUUAUUGACCAUCGUUACGGUAGAGGCCACCAAGGGUCGGGAUCCUAUUACCAAUAAUUCACACGCGCUUCAGGCCGUAUUUUGGAGGCCCGUAUUUGCUUUGAACGUAUCCAAAGGAUCCACAGAGCCAGAGCCGGCUCGGAAGCAAUCAGUCAGGCGAACAGAGAGGUCUCCAGUCUGUGGUGUGGUGUCAAGAAGUGUUCUCAAUAAUUCCACCUCGAUGCGGUUCUGUGGCAAAAUGUAAUUGAAAUGUGACCAAAUUAUUUUCGAGCUGUCCAUACAAUUUGUGGCAAUUAUGACAAGGCCAAGAGAGCAAAAUGCUGCAUGCUGCCUGUUCAGUAUUUGUUUGCGCAGCGGGACAUCCAUUUCCCAGACGGCCUGACGCCUUGACAGAGACACAACCCUCGCUGCUUUCUGGGAUGGCGGCUAUUUUCGGUCCAACAAAUGUGGGAAGACCUUGAAAAAUUGAGGCUUUGGCCCUAGGGAUGGCACAAUGGUUCGAUAUUUUGAAGUUUUAUUUAAUGAUCUUUGGUAGAUAUUUUGAGAGAAUAUUAAAAUAGGAAAUAAUC